rnacentral:tmRNA from 1 species
GACUGGAUUUGACAGCAGGUCGGAGUGGCAGAUAAGCAUGCAGUGCGCCUGAGAGUGGGCACUUUAAUCUCGGCUUUCAGAAAUUUAAUUGGCGAAAACAACUACGCUCUCGCUGCUUGAUUGAAGUACAGUAGAUCGGCUUAAUCCCGGCUAACGAUUGUCGGGACGAGACAUCGCACAAGCGCCGUUUUUCCGAGGCGGCUUGAUUCUGCGGUGCAGCAAUAUCGGGAAUAGUCGCGGUUCGGCCUCGCGGAUCCGACGAAAUCUUAGAGGAUAAGGCUUCAGGCGGUGGCUUUGGUCCGGCUGUAGCUCGAAAACCUAGGCAAAGAUAAGCAUGUAGAAAGUUUGUUGUUUCCCUGUUUGGACGAGGGUUCGAUCCCCUCCUAGUCCAC